ACCAGCAGUCAUACCACCUGCAGUUCAUACUAGAUAAUCUAAUGGAAAGUAAGCAGGUUUGGGUCUGGCCAGUACUUGGAUGGGAGACCAACUAGGAAAGCUGUCAUGCUACUGGAA
rnacentral:rRNA from 1 species